CCUACGGGAGGCAGCAGUGGGGAAUAUUGGGCAAUGGGCGCAAGCCUGACCCAGCAAUGCCGCGUGAAGGAAGAAGGCUUUCGGGUUGUAAACUUCUUUGACAGGGGAAGAGCAGAAGACGGUACCCUGAAAACAAGCCACGGCUAACUACGUGCCAGCAGCCGCGGUAAUACGUAGGUGGCAAGCGUUGUCCGGAUUUACUGGGUGUAAAUGGCGUGUAGCCGGGAAGGCAAGUCAGGUGUGAAAACCAUGGGCUCAACCUGUGGCCUGCAUUUGAAACUGUUUGUCUUGAGUAGUGGAGAGGGAGACGGAAUGCGUAGUGUAGCGGUGAAAUGCGUAGAUAUUGGGAGGAACACCGGUGGCGAAGGCAGUCUGCUGGACAGCAACUGACGCUGAGGCGCGAAAGCGUGGGGAGCAAACAGGAUUAGAUACCCCUGUAGUC
rnacentral:rRNA from 1 species